GGAAUCUUGCGCAAUGGGCGAAAGCCUGACGCAGCGACGCCGCGUGGGGGAUGAAGGCCUUCGGGUUGUAAACCCCUUUCAGGAGGGAAGAAAUUGACGGUACCUCCAAAAGAAGGACCGGCCAACUACGUGCCAGCAGCCGCGGUAAUACGUAGGGUCCUAGCGUUAUCCGGAAUCAUUGGGCGUAAAGAGCUCGUAGGCGGUUCAGCAAGUCGGCUGUGAAAGUCCGAGGCUCAACCUCGGAAUUGCAGUCGAUACUGCUGUGACUCGAAUUCGGUAGAGGGAAUUUCCAGUGUAGCGGUGAAAUGCGUAGAGAUUGGAAAGAACACCAGUGGCGAAGGCGCUCUACUGGACCGUAACUGACACUCAGGGACGAAAGCUAGGGUAGCGAAAGGGAUUAGAUACCCCGGUAGUCC
rnacentral:rRNA from 1 species